AUACACAACCAGCCUCCAUAAAUGCGAUUGCACUCACUCUAUACGCUCUGCAAUAACUCCUCCCUCUCACAUCUUCAUCCGUCUCUUCCCUUUGGGCUUUCCCUUCUUCCCUCUCUCUCUCUCUCUCUCUCUCUCUCUCUCUCUCACACACACACACACAGAGUCAAUACCGCCUUGAAUUUUCCGAUGACCUGAAAACCAGAUCUGAGGCUUCUCUCAUUUGAGCGUCCCAUAACUCUUCCCUCUCUCUCUCUCUCAUAGUCAAUACCGCCUUGAAUCCUCCUUUUAGACUCCAACAAGUGAAAACCAGAUCUGAGCUUUCUGUCAUUUGAGCGCCCCAUAACUCUUCCCCUCUCUGUCUCUCUCGCCAUUUACCAGCAAGCCAAAGAAAGCAGUGAGAGAUUUCGUUAAGAAAAUGGUCCGGAAAGGUUUAAAUUUUGGAAAAGAAACAAAAAGACCAACUGAAAUGAGUAGAAACGGGAAAAAAAAAGAAAAAAAAAGGAGGUAGCCAAAAUCGCGAAGGAAAAACUCGCCGGAGAAAUUGAAGAAGGAUCGCCGGAAAGUGCAGGAAGGCAACGGAGAAUAAAAGCAAGGUAUGUUAAAGGAAGAUAAAAGUUGAGAGGAUCGGAGUUUUUAAAGAGAAGAAAUGGAGGCGACACAGAAUUCAAAAGUUCAAGGCAAAAGUGGCACAACAGAUCUCGAAGUCUGGGUCUUUGUGCCAGCCGUUCGAUUCCUCGUGUCAUCGUUCCGAGCCGUCAGACCAAGAUUGUGUCUUUUCAAAUAAUCUCACCCAAAUAAAUAAGGAGAGAGAUUAUUGGGGGCAGAUGAAGACACCAAAAAUGAUCCGGGCUUGGUAUGGUUCGUAUUGCUAAGAACGGGUCGGGUAUGGAUAGCCACGAUGGAGCAAGUCCACGCUGAAUGGGCCCAGAUCCAAUAAGUCAUUGCGGAAGCCCAUGUUAUGAUGAAAGAAGUAGAGUCCAGCCAAAAGAGAAUAAGAUAGGUCUAGCUCAGUGGCGGUUAUAACUAUUAUAAAUAAAGGGAAUUGAGGGGGAAAAGUGGUUAAAAAAUUAUUGGGAGUGUAAAGUCUCUCUCUACAAUUAGGGAAAUUUUUUUUUGUACUUUCAAAGAUGCAAUCUUAAAAUACACCCACAAGACCCCCGAAAGUUUUGGAUCGGUCGGCACAUUUUUCAAAAAAAAGUCGAUGAAUAGUACCAAGUAGACUUGUAUUAAAAAUUAGCAAAAACCUGGCAGCAAGGAUUUUUCGAAAAAAUAUGGGUUUUUGAGGACCAAGAUGAUAUUUUCUGGAAAAACACAAAGAAGAAACCACCCCCUCCUCGAAAAUCGAGUUUUCUACCCGACAGAGCGGAUGAAAAUGAAAAAAGUACACUAUAAAAUACCCAAAAUGCCCCUGGAAGAGAAAAGGGUAAAAACUAAAAAAAAAAUAUAACUUUAAGUUUUUGUUUCACCAAGAAUGGUAUUGUGUGUUAAAGUGAACAUGUAAGCAUAUGUAAUAUUAUAAAGUAGACGUAAUACAAUGUCCUACGGCCUCAUUACAAUCCAUUUACAAGUUUUGACAUACCAAAUCUCAAAUUCUCACAAAUAGGCUAAAAUGAUAAUACUUUUUUUUU